GAAAAGCUGUAGAAUACAGCUAAGUUUGGUUAAUAUACUAAUUAGAUUUUGUGAAUGAAGACAUCACUUCACCUUUGACUCAGCAACUCUCCUCCGAAAACUCCCCUGGAUAAAUUUCCACUUGUGUGCACAGUGGGGGCUUCUGAGAACAUGGACUGUAGUGUCAUUUUACAGUAAGUUGAGAUCAUGUCACUGCACUCCAGCCUGGGUGACAGAGGAAGACUGUCUCAAAAAAAAUUUUUUUUAAUUAAAAAAAAUAGAUAAAUCUUGAAAAUCAUGUUAUACAAAACAAAUUUAGCUUCAGAAGGGCUAAGAGCAGAGUGGGGAAGCCUCAGAAGUGACACAAGCCUAGUGUUGGCUCUCUGAUGUCCCUGGCACUUGGCCUCAGGAAAGGGCCCUGUGUGCCUGUCAGUGGCAGUGGGAGAAGCAGAUCAGAGUGAGGGAGGGCACAGAGGCUCAAGCUUUUAUGCCAGCUGAGUAGCAAAACUGAACAACUCUUCACCAGCACUCAGAGGGCAUAGGUGUUGGCAAUGGCAGGUGAGGGGCUUGCCUUCGGAGUUGGGGUAUCUGUCUCUUAAGCAGGCAGCAGGCCACUGGGAAGAAAAAAACAGAGGCUCUUGGGCAGCCAGUCAAGGUCUGUUUUUCUGUACAUGAUAUGCCCAGGGCAAGGAGAGGGGGUGGCUGCAAGGUGCACACGCCCUGAGUCGUGCAAAGCACCAGAUCAACAGGGAAUU
rnacentral:lncRNA from 10 species